UUAUGCAAAGACGUAGGAUGGGA
rnacentral:piRNA from 1 species